rnacentral:snRNA from 1 species
AUCGAUUUUCUUCCAAAGUGAUCGAUUCAAAGUAGAAUCAGAAAGAUACAGAGAAGAUUAGCGUGGUCCUAACGCAAGUAUUUCUCGCAAAAUCUUAAAUUGUUUCACAUUUUU